rnacentral:rRNA from 1 species
UGGGGAAUUUUGGACAAUGGGGGAAACCCUGAUCCAGCCAUCCCGCGUGUGCGAUGAAGGCCUUCGGGUUGUAAAGCACUUUUGGCAGGAAAGAAACGUCAUGGGUUAAUACCCCGUGAAACUGACGGUACCGCAGAAUAAGCACCGGCUAACUACGUGCCAGCAGCCGCGGUAAUACGUAGGGUGCAAGCGUUAAUCGGAAUUACUGGGCGUAAAGCGUGCGCAGGCGGUUCGGAAAGAAAGAUGUGAAAUCCCAGAGCUCAACUUUGGAACUGCAUUUUUAACUACCGGGCUAGAGUGUGUCAGAGGGAGGUGGAAUUCCGCGUGUAGCAGUGAAAUGCGUAGAUAUGCGGAGGAACACCGAUGGCGAAGGCAGCCUCCUGGGAUAACACUGACGCUCAUGCACGAAAGCGUGGGGAGCAAACAGG